rnacentral:piRNA from 2 species
UGAUCACAACCAGUUACAGAUUUC